AUAGCUUAUUUUGAUUGAUUAAUGCUGGUCUGGUGUUACUACCUAGUAGCUAGCAUAGUAGCGGCGCCUGUCUUGUCUCUCUAGUGGUCCUUCAUUCUAAAACACCACAAUCUGUUGAGAAGCAAAUGGUUGCAGCCUCUAUAGGCUUACUGUGGCGCUGAUGUGAGUACUGUAUGCAUGCAAUACUACUACUCAUAGUAAUAAUCUCAGAGGGUUGAGAAACAGUGGGACAAUCCAUUCUAGCUUCGUACCUCAUUUUGAAAAUCCCCAAAAAAGAAACUUCACAUAGGACUGUCUUUCAAUUUUUAAUACAUUGCUUUGGAGGUUUUCAAUCUAACAUCCCACUGGUUUGAUUUUACCUAAGAGAAAAAUGUUUAUUUUUAAAGCAUCCACAGCAGCCUUAAUAAUGAGAUUAUGAGACAAUGAGAAUGAAGCGGCAACAGUGUGACUGUGCAGAGUGAGAGAGAUGGCUUCAAUGGAUGACCAGGGAUUGGUGGUGGCGUUACCCAGGAAGGGCGGCUGUAGUUAACUGCAAGCAACAGAACAUGAAUAGUGAAGUGGAGGAAGGAGUCGAAAUGAGACUUCAUUAACAGAUUCAUGUACAGCUCAGAUUUAUAUGGAGAUAAGCUUCUUAAAGAUCCCAUGCCAUUCUAUUUUAUGAUGCUUUAAUAUAGGUAUUAGUGGGCCACAAACACAGUAUUCAAAGACGUCCCCGAAAUUCAGCCGUGGUGCAGACUUGUAGCCACUGACAGUACCAUGCGCUCUGUUUACGGUGGAUGCAUCGCAAUGGCUCGUAGAAACCCAUAUUAUACAUAGAUAUCUAUAUCAUAUAAUAUAUGAUAUAUAUUAUCACCUGGCACCUGAGCAGCUUGUAGCCACGGUACCAUGCGCUCUGUUUACGGUGGAUGUAUCGCAAUGGCUCUUAGAAACCCAUAUUAUACAUAGAUAUCUAUAUCAUAUAAUAUAUAAUAUAUAUUAUCACGGCCAAAAGCUGUGUGAGCCUCCAGACGAUAGGUUAUUAUGAAUCUCAAACGACCGCGUCUACUUCAGAUUGAUGUGGAAGUGGAAGAACCAGAGACGUCGGAGAACCCGACGAAGUCCUUUGUGAUUCAUUAUAUCGUCUGGACGCGCACACAGCUUUUGG
ensembl:lncRNA